CAGCAGCCACGGGAAUACGUAGGGUGCAAGCGUUAAUCGGAAUUACUGGGCGUAAAGCGUGCGCAGGCGGUUAUAUAAGUCAGAUGUGAAAUCCCCGGGCUCAACCUGGGAACUGCAUUUGAGACUGUAUGGCUAGAGUGUGUCAGAGGGGGGUAGAAUUCCACGUGUAGCAGUGAAAUGCGUAGAUAUGUGGAGGAAUACCGAUGGCGAAGGCAGCCCCCUGGGCCAAUACUGACGCUCAUGCACGAAAGCGUGGGGAGCAAACAGGAUUAGAUACCCCCGUAGUCCCUGUCUCUUAUAC
rnacentral:rRNA from 1 species